rnacentral:tRNA from 2 species
GUCCUCGUAGUUUAAUGGAUAAAACGCCUCCCUCCGGAGGAGGAGACUGGGGGUUCGAUUCCUCUCGAGGACA